rnacentral:rRNA from 1 species
UACGUAGGGUGCAAGCGUUACUCGGAAUUACUGGGCGUAAAGCGUGCGCAGGCGGUUUUGUAAGUCUGACGUGAAAUCCCCGGGCUCAACCUGGGAAUUGCGUUGGAGACUGCAAGGCUGGAGUCUGGCAGAGGGGGGUAGAAUUCCACGUGUAGCAGUGAAAUGCGUAGAGAUCGGGAGGAACACCAGUGGCGAAGGCGGCCUUCUGGACCAAUACUGACGCUCAUGCACGAAAGCGUGGGGAGCAAACAGG